UAGGAGUUUCGAGUCCCUGGACUACAGGGAUGAACGCUAGGCGGUGCGCCUAACACAUAGCAAGGUCGAACGAAGGAUUGUGAAGGAACUUUACGGAGGGAAACUACAAUGACUGAGUGGCGGACGGGUGAGUAACGCGUAGGGAACCUGGCCCUUACAGGGGGAUAACAGAUGGAAACAACUGACUAAUACCGCAUAAGCGACCCAGCCUCGCAUGAGGCAGAGUGAAAAACUAAGGUGGUAAGGGAUGGACCCUGCGUCCGAUUAGCUAGUUGGUAUGGUAACGGCAUACCUAAGGCGACGAUCGGUAGCCGGCCUGAGAGGGUGGACGGCCACAUUGGGACUGGAGACACGGCCCAAACGUCCUACGGGAGGCAGCAGUGGGGGAUAUUGCACAAUGGGGGAAACCCUGAUGCAGCGACACCGCGUGGGUGAAGAAGCGCUUCGGCGUGUAAAGCCCUAUCAGUGGGAAGAAAAAGGACGGUACCCAAAGAAGAAGCACCGGCUAAAUACGUG
rnacentral:rRNA from 1 species